GAGGAUGUAGCUCAGAUGGACAGAGUACUUGCUUCCGAGGCAAGUGGUCACAGGUUCAAACCCUGUCAUCCUCG
rnacentral:tRNA from 1 species